CCUGGCCAACAGAGCAAGACUCUGUCUCAAAAAAAAAUAAAAAAGAAAAAGAAAAUAUAAUACACUUGGUUCAAUUUGAAUUUAAGAGACACAGAUGCUAGAAAACACUAUUUCUACAAAAUGCAGAAAAAGCAAAUAUAAACGUCAACAUUUAAAAGUCACAUUUAUGAGCCGGGCGCAGUGACUCGCACCUGUAAUCCCAGCACUGGGAUUUCUCAGGUUAUUUGUAUGCUUCAUACUAUGGCUGCGGCUUUUGCUGCCACUACCCACAGGCCCAACCUGGUUUGAAGUUCAGGCUUUAGGUAAAAAAGAUGGAGGGUCUCCUUGUAUUCUGGGAUGGAAGGUCAGAGACCUGUGGUAGGGCUAGGGGUUUGGGUACAACUUAAUUUUGUGGCAGGAUGAGAACUGCAGUGAGUUUAAUUGUGAUUGGCCUGGCCUGGUUGUAACUCUGGGUGACGGGGAGGGUGUCAGCCGUGGUGGUCUCCCAGACAUCCAUGUGCCUAGACCUAACCUGACUGCCCUCAGACCCAGCAAAAAGGCACCACCACAGGCUCUGACUUACCUCCCUACUCCCUGCACCCCAGAUGGGAAUACCUUGGAGGCUACAAUCUGAAUGUAUUAUUCUCCCUGUCUUAACCAGACCUCCCUAACACACACUGAGGGUAGAGUGGGUUUGGGACCUGGGGAGAACCAGGGCUGAAUCAUGAAUCCUGGGGGAAUGUUAAAGAUAGAGGAGUGGUUGUCACCGCUCUGUUGAGCCCAGCUUCCUACCUGGUCCUGGCCACACAGCCCCUCAGAUAGAGACUAGCUCUGUGGGUAGUUGGGGAUCCCUAUAGGCCCAGGCUGCUCUCUGUCCCCACCUGCCUGUGCUCCUUCUCUUGCCUGCUGUCAGAGCCCUAACAUGGAGAAGGAGGUUUCCACCCUGUGAGCCUGAGGGAGCUAUGUCUGACUGGGGCUUCUGCUAUCUAUGAAUAUGGUCUGCCCAGAUAUCUUGUUUUAAAGGGAGUGGCCAUGAGCUAGCAAGUGGAGCAUCCCCACAGCUGAUUAAUAACAUUUUCUUGUUUUUAAUCCAUCAUAUUUUCAUAUCACAUUAGAAUAAAGUAGGUUUUUAUAAACUGCU